rnacentral:rRNA from 1 species
UACAGAGGGUGCAAGCGUUGUUCGGAAUUAUUGGGCGUAAAGCGCGUGUAGGCGGCUUUGCAAGUCGGGUGUGAAAGCCCUCAGCUCAACUGAGGAAGUGCGCCCCGAAACUGCAGAGCUUGAGUGCUGGAGAGGGUGGCGGAAUUCCCCAAGUAGAGGUGAAAUUCGUAGAUAUGGGGGAGGAACACCGGUGGCGAAGGCGGCCACCUGGACGGUAACUGACGCUGAGACGCGAAAGCGUGGGGAGCAAACAGG